AGCUCUUUUAAUGGAAUAUCUACAUAGGCGUACAGAGGCCCAGCAACCAUCACUCCUGUGUUCCAAUAGCAUGUUGUGUUAGCUAAUCCAAGUUCAUCAGUUUAAAAGGCUAAUUGAUCAUUAAAAAACCCUUUUGCAAUUAUGUUAGCAGUGAAGAGGCAACUCUGGGAUGCUGGCCUUACUGGUGUUUUGCGGGUACUAUUUAAUGAAGCUGCCAGUUGAGGACUUGUGAGGUGUCUGUUUCUCAAAAUAGACACUCUAAUGUACUUGGCCUCUUGCUCAGUUCUGCACCGGGGCCUCCCACUCCUCUUUCUAUUCUGGUUAGAGCCAGUUUGCGCUGUUCUGAUUUUGAUUUGUUAAGUACAAUGUAGGCAUACUGACAUUUAGAGCGGAAAAUUUGUAACACAAACAAAUCCAUCGAUUUUUUUGGGUGGUUGAUGUACCAACACUCAAGCUGGGCAAUGUUUGUGCAAUGUCCACAUGUAGCCUACACCUGUAAGGUGAUCUAACAGCGCACACAAGGAGAGAUGAGAACAUGCCAGUUAUAGAAUAUUUUGCUGUAGGUCAGCUGAGCUGACUGAAUACCACAACAUUCAACUUGCAGUAGUUGAUAUCAUUUCCACAGUAAUAUGUAUUUACAUGUCAUAAUGAAACGUUGAAACUAAGUUGGAAGCUACUUUCGUAGCAAGGUGUUGUAGAACAAGUUUAUUUUGAAAAACAUUCCAGACACUGGCUCUUGCUAUCUUGCCAUAACUGAUUUGACAGAGAAAUAUCAGCUAGAUAGGAUAGUCAGCUGCAACUAUCACCAAGCUUUGCUAUCUAGCUGCCGUCAGUUUGGCUAAACACAAGGUCAGCGCACGCUUUAGCCUACACAAAGAACUGAGAACUGAAUUAGCUGACCAUCUUGAGAUGGUCAGUCAGGAAGGGAGAAGUCCUCAACUUAAAACGUUGUUCUCUCCAUAGCAAAGAUAACUUAGUUUGCCUCGCCGUACUAACUACUGCACUUGUUUGAUGUGAUUGAAUGGCAAAGACACACCCAAGAAACACCUACAUCAAACCACACCCCCAAGACAACUCUUGUUUGCCUCCAGUCAUGGGCCAAAUCUGGAAGUGUAGUUCUCCUUUAAAGGAGGCUAUCCCCCAUUUUGACGUGUAACUAUUUUAGCAAUACACUGUUUUUUGAUAUCCCAAGACAUAUCCCACAUAUUUAGAUACUUUAUAGGAAAAUCAUGUUAUGCCAUUUGCCCAUAGGAUCCCAUUCAAUUAAAAAA
rnacentral:lncRNA from 1 species